ensembl:snRNA U6 U6 spliceosomal RNA
GUGCUUGCUUCAACAGCACAUAUACUAAAAUUGGAACAAGACAGAGAAGAUUAGCAUGGCCCUGUGCAAGGAUGACACACAAAUAAAUGAAGCACUCCAUAUUUAA